CAGCAGCCGCGGUAAUACGUAGGGUGCGAGCGUUAAUCGGAAUUACUGGGCGUAAAGCGUGCGCAGGCGGUUGUGUAAGACAGGUGUGAAAUCCCCGGGCUUAACCUGGGAACUGCGCUUGUGACUGCACAGCUAGAGUAUGGCAGAAGGGGGUGGAAUUCCACGUGUAGCAGUGAAAUGCGUAGAGAUGUGGAGGAACACCGAUGGCGAAGGCAGCCCCCUGGGCCAAUACUGACGCUCAUGCACGAAAGCGUGGGGAGCAAACAGGAUUAGAUACCCCGGUAGUCCCUGUCUCUUAUAC
rnacentral:rRNA from 1 species